rnacentral:rRNA from 1 species
GUACCCCNCCUGGGGAGUACGGCCGCAAGGCUAAAACUCAAAGGAAUUGACGGGGCCCCGCACAAGCGGCGGAGCAUGCGGAUUAAUUCGAUGCAACGCGAAGAACCUUACCUGGGUCUGACAUAUGCCGGAAGCGUUCAGAGAUGGGCGUGCCUUUUUGGUCGGUUUACAGGUGGUGCAUGGCUGUCGUCAGCUCGUGUCGUGAGAUGUUGGGUUAAGUCCCGCAACGAGCGCAACCCUCGUCCAAUGUUGCCAGCGGGUUAUGCCGGGGACUCAUUGGAGACCGCCGGGGUCAACUCGGAGGAAGGUGGGGAUGACGUCAAGUCAUCAUGCCCCUUAUGUCCAGGGCUUCACGCAUGCUACAAUGGCCGGUACAGUGAGCUGCGAGCCUGUGAGGGUGAGCGAAUCUCUAAAAGCCGGUCUCAGUUCGGAUUGGGGUCUGCAACUCGACCCCAUGAAGUCGGAGUCGCUAGUAAUCGCAGAUCAGCAACGCUGCGGUGAAUACGUUCCCGGGGCUUGUACACACCGCCCGUCAAGUCAUGAAAGUCGGUAACACCCGAAGCCGGUGGCCUAACCCGUUUGGGAGGGAG